AUUGAACGCUGGCGGCAGGCCUAACACAUGCAAGUCGAACGAGUGGCGGACGGGUGAGUAAUGUCUGGGAAACUGCCCGAGGGAGGGGGUUAAGUAAUGGACACGGUAGCUACUACCGCCUUCCAGAGCAUGUGCCCAGAUGGGAUUAGCUAGUAGGUGGGGUAACGGCCUACCUAGGCGACGAUCCCUAGCUGGUCUGAGAGGAUGACCAGUCACACUGGAACUGAGACACGGUCCAGACUCCUACGGGAGGCAGCAGUGGGGAAUAUUGGACAAUGGGCGCAAGCCAGAUGCAGCCAUGCCGCGUGUAUGAAGAAGGCCUUCGGGUUGUAAAGUACUUUCAGCGGGGAGGCGUUACUCGCAGAAGAAGCACCGGCUAACUCCGUGCCAGCAGCCGCGGUAAUAC
rnacentral:rRNA from 1 species